rnacentral:rRNA from 1 species
AUUGAACGCUGGCGGCAGGCCUAACACAUGCAAGUCGAACGGUAACAGGAAACAGCUUGCUGUUUCGCUGACGAGUGGCGGACGGGUGAGUAAUGUCUGGGAAACUGCCUGAUGGAGGGGGAUAACUACGGGAAACGGUAGCUAAUACCGCAUAACGUCGCAAGACCAAAGAGGGGGACCUUCGGGCCUCUUGCCAUCGGAUGUGCCCAGAUGGGAUUAGCUAGUAGGUGGGGUAACGGCUCACCUAGGCGACGAUCCCUAGCUGGUCUGAGAGGAUGACCAGCCACACUGGAACUGAGACACGGUCCAGACUCCUACGGGAGGCAGCAGUGGGGAAUAUUGCACAAAGGGCGCAAGCCUGAUGCAGCCAUGCCGCGUGUAUGAAGAAGGCCUUCGGGUUGUAAAGUACUUUCAGCGGGGAGGAAGGGAGUAAAGUUAAUACCUUUACUCAUUGACGUUACCCGCAGAAGAAGCACCGGCUAACUCCGUG